AUACGGAGGGUCCCGAGCCGUUAUCCGGAAUUAUUGGGUUUAAAGGGUCCGCAGGCGGGCCGGUAAGUCAGAGGUGAAAGUUUGCGGCUCAACCGUAAAAUUGCCUUUGAUACUGCUGGUCUUGAGUUGCGGUGAAGUGGCUGGAAUAUGUGGUGUAGCGGUGAAAUGCAUAGAUAUCACAUAGAACACCGAUUGCGAAGGCAGGUCACUAACCGCGGACUGACGCUGAUGGACGAAAGCGUGGGGAGCGAACGGGAUUAGAUACCCCGGUAGUCCACGCCGUAAACGAUGGACACUAGCUGUCAGGGAGCUUGCUCUUUGGUGGCCCAGCGAAAGUGAUAAGUGUCCCACCUGGGGAGUACGUCGGCAACGAUGAAACUCAAAGGAAUUGACGGGGGCCCGCACAAGCGGUGGAGCAUGUGGUUUAAUUCGAUGAUACGCGAGGAACCUUACCAGGGCUUAAAUGUGGAGUGACAGGGGCAGAGACGCCUUUUUCUUCGGACACUCCACAAGGUGCUGCAUGGUUGUCGUCAGCUCGUGCCGUGAGGUGUCAGGUUAAGUCCUAUAACGAGCGCAACCCCUACCGUUAGUUGCCAGCAUGUAAAGAUGGGGACUCUAGCGGAACUGCCGGUGCAAACCGAGAGGAAGGUGGGGAUGACGUCAAAUCAUCGUGGCCUUUAUGCCCAGGGCUACACACGUGCUACAAUGGCCAGUACAGAGGGUAGCGAAGCCGCGAGGUGAAGCCAAUCCCAGAAAGCUGGUCCCAGUUCGGAUUGGAGUCUGGAACUCGACUCCAUGAAGG
rnacentral:rRNA from 1 species